rnacentral:rRNA from 1 species
AGAACGAACGCUGGCGGCAGGCUUAACACAUGCAAGUCGAACGCGUGUAGCAAUACACGAGUGGCGCACGGGUGAGUAACGCGUGGAUAUCUGCCUUUUGGUUCGGAAUAACCCCGGGAAACUGGGGCUAAUACCGGAUGGUUCCUACGGGAUAAAGAUUUAUCGCCAAAAGAUGAGUCCGCGUCCGAUUAGCUAGUUGGUGGGGUAAUGGCCUACCAAGGCGACGAUCGGUAGCUGGUCUGAGAGGACGAUCAGCCACACUGGGACUGAGACACGGCCCAGACUCCUACGGGAGGCAGCAGUGGGGAAUAUUGGACAAUGGGGGCAACCCUGAUCCAGCCAUGCCGCGUGAGUGAUGAAGGCCUUCGGGUUGUAAAGCUCUUUUGGCGGGGACGAUGAUGACGGUACCCGCAGAAUAACGCCCCGGCUAACUUCGUGCCAGCAGCCGC